rnacentral:rRNA from 1 species
CCCCUAGUAACUGCGAGUGAAGCGGGAAAAGCUCAAAUUUAAAAUCUGGCAGUCUUUGGCUGUCCGAGUUGUAAUCUAGAGAAGUGUUAUCCGCGCUGGACCGUGUACAAGUCUCCUGGAAUGGAGCGUCAUAGAGGGUGAGAAUCCCGUCUUUGACACGGACUACCAGGGCUUUGUGAUGCGCUCUCGAAGAGUCGAGUUGUUUGGGAAUGCAGCUCAAAAUGGGUGGUAAAUUCCAUCUAAAGCUAAAUAUUGGCGAGAGACCGAUAGCGAACAAGUACCGUGAGGGAAAGAUGAAAAGAACUUUGGAAAGAGAGUUAAACAGUACGUGAAAUUGCUGAAAGGGAAACGCUUGAAGUCAGUCGCGUUGUCCAGAGAUCAGCCUUGCUUUUGCUUGGUGUACUUUCUGGUUGACGGGUCAGCAUCAAUUUUGACCAUUGGAAAAAGAUUAGGGGAAUGUGGCAUCUUUGGAUGUGUUAUAGCCCUUGGUUGCAUACAAUGGUUGGGAUUGAGGAACUCAGCACGCCGAAAGGCCGGGUUUUUAACCACGUACGUGCUUAGGAUGCUGGCAUAAUGGCUUUAAUCGACCCGUCUUGAAACACGGACCAAGGAGUCUAACAUGCCUGCGAGUGUUUGGGUGGAAAACCCGAGCGCGUAAUGAAAGUGAAAGUUGAGAUCCCUGUCGUGGGGAGCAUCAACGCCCGGACCAGACCUUUUGUGACGGUUCCGCGGUAGAGCAUGUAUGUUGGGACCCGAAAGAUGGUGAACUAUGCCUGAAUAGGGUGAAGCCAGAGGAAACUCUGGUGGAGGCUCGUAGCGAUUCUGACGUGCA